rnacentral:rRNA from 14 species
ACGCGAGCUGGGUUCAGAACGUCGUGAGACAGUUCGGUCCCUAUCUGUUGUGGGCGUUAGAUUUUUGAGAGGACCUUCCUCUAGUACGAGAGGACCGGGGAGGACGCACCUCUGGUGUACCUGUUGUGGCGCCAGCUGCAUCGCAGGGUAGCUACGUGCGGAUGAGAUAAGCGCUGAAAGCAUCUAAGCACGAAACUCACCUCAAGAUGAGAAAUCUUUUAAGGGCCGUGGAAGACUACCACGUUGAUAGGCUACAAGUGUAAAGACAGUAAUGUCAAAGCUGAGUAGUACUAAUAACCCGUAAACU